rnacentral:misc_RNA from 1 species
CUCCUCCAAAAGCAAGCACCCCAGCAGGACCUGUUGCUCCCAACACAUCCACCAACAGGGCAUGCUUCAAGUGUGGACAACCGGGACACUACGCCAACUACUGUCCCAACAGAGCUGCCUACACUACACCGGCUCCGAUGAAGCAAGGACAAGCCUCGGCAGGAAAGAGUCAGCCACUAUCUAUCAACCGGGGACAUGCCCAUCAUGCAAAAGUAGAGGUUGAACCAGGUGAUCUGGAAAUUCAAGAAGAAGAGCUAGUUGAAGAUGAAGUAGUCGGUGAAGAAGUCAACGAACAACAAGAAUAGAGAUAAACAUAAAUAUAGAUACAUAUAUAUAUAUAUUUUACUAUUUGUAAGACCUAAAUAUUAGUUUGGCCAG